CCUCGUGCUACGGCUCGAAUGAUCGAAACCUCUAAUGGUGGUGGCUCUGAAAGGAAUAUUUAAAUAAACCGUGUCCUCAGCCUGCCCUGAUAAAGUGUCAGCGUUCCAGCACAGUCUGUGAGAAUUACUGAACUGUUUAUUUAGGAUUUAUUUUGGGACGCAAACUUGCAGCCAUGCUUUCAAAAGGUUCUUUGAUUUGUCCUUACAGGAUCUCUUACACUUCAGAAAGCUAGAUGAAGUUCCCCCUUUGUGAAAAAGCUCCAAGCAGAAGCAUGAACAAUGCAGAGGGUCCCAGAGGAACCAUGCAGCUGAAGUUUUAAAACUUCUACCCUCUUCAUCAGGAAGUGAUUUGCAGCUCCUCACAUGGAGAGUGUAUGACAUCAUGCUACAGUCCUGUAGGGAGUGUGUUUGUGUUUUAAAGGCACAGCUCCGAGUCUGUGUGCUCUCUCUUCUCUCAGGGUGAUUCUCCAUCCUAGGCCAGGUGUGCGCUCAGGUGAAGCCCUCGGCGCUCAGGGUGCAGGCCACGCCCCCGGCUCUGAGGCGGUCCGUAAGCUCCGUCGCGCUUCACACCCUCCUCACACACUCCUUCUUCAUUCUCUACAUGAUGUAAGGAAUAAAACACUCCGCGUGGUUCGACGAAGCCCGAGUUACUCCCGAGUAACACGCAGAAGCUGAUUACUUUCCUAUAACAUCAUGUCAUAUUUUUAUCCGUUUAUAGCUACAUUUUAUGUCGCGGCAGCUAUAAUCAGUCAAAAACCUCAGCUUAUCAUGUACAGAAAGCUUAAAGUAACAGCUGUACCUCUGGCACUGGAGACUCCUUCCAUAAAUAUUAAAUAGACAGCUCCUUAAUAUAAAAUCAACGGUUUUUAAAAUCCGUUUAUGUCGUGCGUCUGCCGUACAAGUCCCUGUGAAUGAGCUGUUGCUAUAGAAACGAUCAUUUAAAAUAGGCGUGUUAAUGUAAACCUGUGAUUUGCAGUUGCACUACUGCCAAAGUUCUGUCACCUUCUGACCAAUCACUAUCAGUUAGAGCUUUGAUCCAGGUCAGGACGGCGGCGGCGGAUCCGUAGCCUAUGCCGUCGGGAACAGCGGGAGUGAGGCGGGAAUAAUCCCAGCUGGACACACACACACAGUGAGAGUAUAAAGCGUGAGAUGAUCAACAGGACAGUCUUUAUGCUUUCUUAGGUACACUGAUGGAUUCCAGGGUGGAAGGAAGGGGUGCCAAUACUUUGUGCAGCGCAACAUAAAGGCUACAAUCAUUAAACCUUCACGAUCAGUGUAGUGGAAAUGGCAGAAACUGGGCCCAGAAGUACUGGAGUGCUGAAAAGUGGCGAAGGAAAGUGUGACUGGCUGUCGCCCAUAUCGUCUCGCACAAUCCCGUAAACACACCAGUGUGAGUCUAGCACCAUCACACGUUCCUCUACGUCCAGAAUGUUCCAUGUUGUCUCGUGGAGUUAGGAGACUUCGAUUUUCUACAACUAUUACUUUAACAUUCUGUAGCAACUUGCACUUUAUCAUUUUAUACAUUAAAAAUAAAAUCAACAGGAACAGAAAAGUCACAAUGAAGAGUGUGUCACUUAUAUAUAACAGUGUAUAACUUUACGCCACAACUGCUG